rnacentral:rRNA from 1 species
CCUACGGGUGGCUGCAGUGGGGAAUAUUGGACAAUGGGGGGAACCCUGAUCCAGCCAUGCCGCGUGUGUGAAGAAGGCCCUCGGGUUGUAAAGCACUUUCAGUGAGGAAGAACGCCUGGUGGUUAAUACCCAUCAGGAAAGACAUCACUCACAGAAGAAGCACCGGCUAACUCCGUGCCAGUAGCCGCGGUAAUACGGAGGGUGCGAGCGUUAAUCGGAAUUACUGGGCGUAAAGCGCGCGUAGGUGGCUUGAUAAGCCGGUUGUGAAAGCCCCGGGCUCAACCUGGGAACGGCAUCCGGAACUGUCAAGCUAGAGUGCAGGAGAGGAAGGUAGAAUUCCCGGUGUAGCGGUGAAAUGCGUAGAGAUCGGGAGGAAUACCAGUGGCGAAGGCGGCCUUCUGGACUGACACUGACACUGAGGUGCGAAAGCGUGGGUAGCAAACAGGAUUAGAUACCCUUGUAGUC